UCUCUGACCGUGCGAAGGUAGCAUAAUCAUUAGUCUUUUAAUUGAAGGCUUGUAUGAAGGGUUGGACGAGAGAAAAACUGUCUCGAUUGAAAACUUGAAAUUAACUUUUAGGUGAAAAGGCCUAAAUAUAUUGAGAAGACGAUAAGACCCUAUAAAUCUUAAUACUAAUUAAAUUUGAACUUUCAAUUUAUAUUUAAAAAAAGUGUCAAAUUUUUUGUAUUUUGUUGGGGCGACAAAAAUAUAGAAAAAUUAUCUGUUUUAAGUCAAAUACAAUUUUUUUUGUUUAAAGUAAAGAUCCUAUAUAAAGAUUAAAAGAUUAAGUUACUUUAGGGAUAACAGCGUUAUUUUCCUUGAGAGUUCCUAUCGAAAGGAGAGUUUGCGACCUCGAUGUUGAAUUAAAAUUUCUCUGUGGUGCAGCCGCUACAGGAGAAAGUCUGUUCGACUUUUAAAAUUUUACGUGA
rnacentral:rRNA from 1 species